UACGUAGGGGGCAAGCGUUGUCCGGAUUUAUUGGGCGUAAAGAGCGUGUAGGCGGCUUUACAGGUCCGUUGUGAAAACUCGAGGCUCAACCUCGAGACGCCGGUGGAAACCGUAAAGCUAGAGUCCGGAAGAGGAGAGUGGAAUUCCUGGUGUAGCGGUGAAAUGCGCAGAUAUCAGGAGGAACACCAGUGGCGAAGGCGACUUCCUGGCCUGUUCUUGACGCUGAGGCGCGAAAGCUAGGGGAGCAAACGGG
rnacentral:rRNA from 1 species